rnacentral:rRNA from 1 species
AGAGUUUGAUCCUGGCUCAGGACGAACGCUGGCGGCGUGCUUAACACAUGCAAGUCGAGCGGAAAGGCCCCUUCGGGGGUACUCGAGCGGCGAACGGGUGAGUAACACGUGGGCAACCUGCCCUCAGCUCUGGGAUAACUCCGGGAAACCGGGGCUAAUACCGGAUAUGACCUCGGGAGACAUCUCCUGAGGUGUAAAGAUUCAUCGGCUGAGGAUGGGCCCGCGGCCUAUCAGCUUGUUGGUGGGGUAACGGCCUACCAAGGCGACGACGGGUAGCCGGCCUGAGAGGGCGACCGGCCACACUGGGACUGAGACACGGCCCAGACUCCUACGGGAGGCAGCAGUGGGGAAUAUUGCGCAAUGGGCGAAAGCCUGACGCAGCGACGCCGCGUGAGGGACGACGGCCUUCGGGUUGUAAACCUCUUUCAGCAGGGACGAAGCGCAAGUGACGGUACCUGCAGAAGAAGCACCGGCCAACUACGUGCCAGCAGCCGCGGUAAUACGUAGGGUGCAAGCGUUGUCCGGAAUUAUUGGGCGUAAAGAGCUCGUAGGCGGUCUGUCGCGUCGGCUGUGAAAACUCGGGGCUCAACCCCGAGCCUGCAGCCGAUACGGGCAGACUAGAGUUCGGUAGGGGAGACUGGAAUUCCUGGUGUAGCGGUGAAAUGCGCAGAUAUCAGGAGGAACACCGGUGGCGAAGGCGGGUCUCUGGGCCGAUACUGACGCUGAGGAGCGAAAGCGUGGGGAGCGAACAGGAUUAGAUACCCUAGUAGUCC